rnacentral:rRNA from 1 species
GCUUGUCUCAAAGAUUAAGCCAUGCAUGUCUAAGUAUAAACAACUUUAUACUGUGAAACUGCAGAUGGCUCAUUAAAUCAGUUAUAAUCUAUUUGAUGAUUACUUACUACAUGGAUAACCGUGGUAAUUCUAGAGCUAAUACAUGCGCAAAGUCCCAACUUUCGGGGAGGGAUGUAUUUAUUAGACGAAAAACCAAUGCGGGUUCUGCCCGGUUUUGCGGUGAUUCAUAAUAACUUUCGGAUCGAUCUUCGGAUCGAUGCAUCAUUCAAGUUUCUGCCCUAUCAGCUUUGGAUGGUAGGGUAUUGGCCUACCAUGGCUUUAACGGGUAACGGAGAAUUAGGGUUCGAUUCCGGAGAGGGAGCCUGAGAAAUGGCUACCACAUCCAAGGAAGGCAGCAGG